AAGAGUUUGAUCAUGGCUCACAUUGAACNUUGGCGGCAGGCCUAACACAUGCAAGUCGAGCGGAUGAGAGGAGCUUGCUCUUCGAUUCAGCGGCGGACGGGUGAGUAAUGCCUAGGAAUCUGCCUGGUAGUGGGGGACAACGUUUCGAAAGGAACGCUAAUACCGCAUACGUCCUACGGGAGAAAGCAGGGGACCUUCGGGCCUUGCGCUAUCAGAUGAGCCUAGGUCGGAUUAGCUAGUUGGUGAGGUAAUGGCUCACCAAGGCGACGAUCCGUAACUGGUCUGAGAGGAUGAUCAGUCACACUGGAACUGAGACACGGUCCAGACUCCUACGGGAGGCAGCAGUGGGGAAUAUUGGACAAUGGGCGAAAGCCUGAUCCAGCCAUGCCGCGUGUGUGAAGAGGGUCUUCGGAUUGUAAAGCACUUUAAGUUGGGAGGAAGGGUUGUACGUUAAUACCGUGCAAUUUUGACGUUA
rnacentral:rRNA from 1 species